GAUUUUGAAACAACAACAGCCUGUGAUUUUUUUUUUAAAGACAUUUUUUUGUUUCAUUUUGUUUGGUAAGAAACAAAAGCCACACUUUUGAGCUCAAAUUUGUUCUAAAUGAUCCAUUUAUUUAUAGUGCCACUUUGAUUGAAACAUUUAUUUAUUGCUUGUGUUUAUUCUGAAUGUCUGUUCAACAGGAAUUCUGUGCUUGUGUGUGUUCUAAUCUGGGGGCAUGAUGUUCGAGUAGUUCAGUGCUUGGCCUCUAAAAACAGGAUCAUGAGUUCAAAAAUCUCAUAUGAGGGCUGGGAAUGUUUUAAUUCAGGACUUUGGGGAGUCCAUGAGACAGACUAGCUGUAUAGGGUACCCGCCUUUAUUUGAGGAUAGUAAAGGCAUGAUCUGUCUACAUGAUCACCUCCCCAAUGAAGCAUUGCUACAGAAUCAGAUGAGCUUUAAAUCUCUCUGUACUGGUACCAAAGACUUCUAAGUCAUAAAGGCUUGAUUUUAUAUUCUCACUUUAUUAAAACACGUAACUUUGAAUGUGAUAUUUCAGCAUUAUAUAUCUGUAACUAAUGACUCUGUUUCACAAACGAUUGUAACACUUUCAAAACAAAAGCACCAUUAAGUCAAAACUUGCAAAGUAGUGAAUAAACUGAAUGUAAACAGUCCUAGUAGGUCAUUGGUCUUGGUCAGUGGUGGAGGUAUUCUUUGGGUACUGUGGACUACAACCUUUGGCAUUGCUCUACAACUUGUAUUCAUAGCUACACAAUAAAUAUUUAUUCUCGCCUGCAGUAUUUUAAUGACCUAGGUCUUCCUUGGGGUAUCUCAGGCUCUGAGCUUCCUUGGGGU